rnacentral:rRNA from 1 species
GACGAACGCUGGCGGCGUGCUUAACACAUGCAAGUCGAACGGAAAGGCCUCUUUCGGGGGGUACUCGAGUGGCGAACGGGUGAGUAACACGUGAGUAACCUGCCCUUGACUUUGGGAUAACUUCAGGAAACUGGGGCUAAUACCGGAUAGGAGCUCCUGCUGCAUGGUGGGGGUUGGAAAGUUUCGGCGGUUGGGGAUGGGCUCGCGGCUUAUCAGCUUGUUGGUGGGGUAGUGGCUUACCAAGGCUUUGACGGGUAGCCGGCCUGAGAGGGUGACCGGCCACAUUGGGACUGGGAUACGGCCCAGACUCCUACGGGGGGCAGCAGUGGGGAAUAUUGCACAAUGGGUGGGAGCCUGAUGCAGCAACGCCGUGGGCGGGAUGACGGCCUUCGGGUUGGAAACCGCUUUCGCUCAUGACGAAGCUUUGUGUGACGGUAGUGGGUAAAGAAGCACCGGCUAACUACGUG